rnacentral:rRNA from 1 species
UGCCUAGCUACAAACUGAAGACCUUACAACCCACUCUCCGCCAGAACACUACGAGUAAACACUUAAAAAUCAAAGGACUUGGCGGUGCCCAAAAUCUACCCAGAGGAGCCUGUUCUAUAAUCGAUAACCCACGCUAAACCUCACCCCUCUUUGCCAAAACAGCCUAUAUACCACCGUCUGCAGCUCACCCCAUUGAAGGAAAACAAGUGAGCAGAAUGAACUUAUUAAAAACGUCAGGUCAAGGUGUAGCACAUAGAGCGGAAAGAAAUGGGCUACAUUUUCUUACUAAGAACAAACGAAAAAGCAAAUGAAAAAUUCUUGGAAGGCGGAUUUGGCAGUAAAAAAAAAUAAUUAAAUUCUUUUUAACACAGCCCUUGGGCGCGC